CGGGUGAGUAAUGCUUGGGAAUCUAGCUUAUGGAGGGGGAUAACUACGGGAAACUGUAGCUAAUACCGCGUAGAAUCGGGAGAUGAAAGUGUGGGACCUUCGGGCCACAUGCCAUAGGAUGAGCCCAAGUGGGAUUAGGUAGUUGGUGAGGUAAAGGCUCACCGAGCCGACGAUCUCUAGCUGGUCUGAGAGGAUGACCAGCCACACUGGGACUGAGACACGGCCCAG
rnacentral:rRNA from 1 species